rnacentral:lncRNA from 1 species
UCUCUCUUAGUUUUCUCUCUUCUCCCAUUUGAGAAUUCUUAAGGAAUUCUAUUUGUUUGUAAUACUUUGAAGAUAGUAAAGUUAUCAUCUGGUGUUAGUGCCCGAGGACGUAGGUAUAAUUUACCGAACCUCGUUAAAACUCUUGUGUUCUUUCUUGUCUUAUUUUUCUUUCAAUAUUUGAGGGUAUAAUAGUAGUAUUUAAUUGUGCUAUUAAAUUACUAUAGAAGGGAUAUUCUGUCUAAGGAAAGACUUGGUAUUUAAGAGAUCCAUGUGAUCCACCUCUCUUUCCUGGGAAUUGAACUUUGUGUGAUUUUUUAGUACAAUAAUUUACACGCUUCCGACUCUAUUGGAACAACAAGUGGUAUCAAGAGCCGAAGGUUAAUCGUAGUAUGCUCUGUGGUUGCAGUUUAAACUGAUCUUCCACAUCAGAAAAGAUUUCCUUAGGUAUAUUGAAAGAUUAUGGAGAAAACGGUCGGUGUAGGAGCUUCAACAUCGUCCAUGUGGACAAGACCGACAAUUGCAAAUGCAAGAUUGGCCGUGGAGAUCUUUGAUGGCACGGGCCAUUUUGGUAUGUGGCAAAGUGAGGUUCUAGAUGCCCUUUUUCAGCAGGGUCUAGACAUUGCCAUUGAUGAAGAGAAACCAGAUGAUGUACAGGAGAAAGAUUGGAAGGCGAUCAAUCGGUUGGCAUGUGGCACUUGAAGAAAAUUUUUUGAAGAAAAACAGUCAAAAUAAGCUCCACUUGAAGAAAAGACUGUUUCGCUUCACAUACGUCCCAAGUACCACAAUGAAUGAUCACAUCACCAAAUUUAAUCAGUUAGUCACUGAUUUGCUGAAUAUGGAUGAGACAUUCAAAGAUGAAGAUUUGACUUUGAUGCUGUUGGGGUCACUUCCUGAGGAGUUUGAGUUCCUAGAAACUACUCUACUUCAUGGCAGGAGUGAUAUAUCUCUGAGCGAAGUCUGUGCGGCCUUAUACAGUUAUGAACAGAGAAAGAAGGACAAACAGAAAAACUCAAUCAGAGAUACAGAAGCUUUAGUAGUCCGAGGUCGUUCAUACACUCGGAAGAAAACUCAAAAGGGAAGAUCAAAGUCAAAGUCCAGACUCGGGAAAGAUGAAUGUGCUUUUUGUCAUGAGAAAGGCCACUGGAAGAAAAAUUGUCCAAAGCUGAAGAAUAAAGGAAAAGCUGCUGUAGAUGCUUGUGUUGCUAAGCAUGAUACUAGUGACUCUGAACUAUCACUGGUUGCAUCAUCAUCGUCGUUCCAUUCAGAUGAGUGGAUAUUGGAUUCGGGUUGUACCUAUCAUAUGUCCCCUAACCGGGAGUGGUUCUCUGAUUUAGUAGAACUAAAUGGAGGAGUUGUUUAUAUGGGCAAUGACAAUGCCUGUAAAACUGUUGGGAUAGGUUCAAUCCAAUUAAAGAAUCAAGAUGGAUCAACCAGAGUUCUGACUGAUGUUCGGUACGUGCCCAGUUUGAAGAAAAAUCUCAUCUCAUUGGGAGCCUUGGAAUCCAAUGGUUCAGUUGUUACUAUGAGAUAUGGGAUUUUGAAAGUGACAUCUGGCGCACUUGUGAUAUUGAAGGGCAUCAGGAAAAAUAAAUUGUAUUACUACCAAGGUAGUACAGUUAUUGGAGCAGUCGCUACAGCUUCCGGUAACAAAGAAUUGGACUCAAUGCAGUUGUGGCAUAUGAAGUUGGGACAUGCCAGCGAAAUAUCCUUGCAAAUUCUGGCAAAGCAAGGAUUGUUGAAAGGUGCAAAGGCUUACAAAUUAAAAUUUUGCGAGCAUUGUGUUCUAGGAAAGCAAAAGAGAGUGAAAUUCGGUACUGCUAUCCAUAAUACAAAAGGUAUUUUGGAAUAUGUUCACUCAGAUGUGUGGAGGCCUUCCAACACACCUUCAUUGGGAGGAAAACACUACUUUGUUACUUUUGUUGAUGACUUUUCCAGAAGAGUUUGGGUGUAUACCAUGAGAACUAAAGAUGAAGUGCUUAGAGUUUUUCUUAAAUGGAAAACUAUGAUCGAAAACCAGACUGGCAAGAAAAUCAAGCGGCUUAGGACGGACAAUUGAGGGGAAUAUAAAAGUGAUCCGUUCUUCGAUGUGUGCCAAGAGUAUGGUAUUGUUCGACACUUCACAGUUAGGGAUACACCACAGCAGAAUGGAUUGGCAGAGCGUAUGAAUCGAACAUUGCUGGAGAAAGUUCGAUGUAUGUUGUCCAAUGCUGGGUUGGGCAAGCAAUUUUGGGCUGAGGCUGUGACAUACGCUGGCCAUCUUGUUAAUCGUUUGCCAUCAUCUGCAUUAGAAAGAAAAACUCCUAUGGAGGUAUGGUCUGGAAAACCGGCUACAGAUUAUGAUUCCUUACAUGUGUUUGGAACCACUGCAUAUUACCAUAUGAAGGAGUCAAAGUUAGAUCCGAGGGCAAAGAAAGCUCUCUUUAUGGGAAUCACUUCUGGAGUGAAGGGAUUUCGUCUUUGGUGCUUAAGCACAAAGAAAAUGAUCUGUAGCAGAGAUGUUACCUUUGAUGAAUCUGCCACAUUGAAAAAGGUAGCAGAUAAAGAUAUUCAGACGAGUAAUACUCCACAGCAGGUGGAGUGUACUCCAAAACAGGUGGAGUUUGAGCAGAUGGGGAUUUGCCCAGUUAAUAAGUCUAACUCUCCAGCCACAAUGGAGGAAUUAGAGGUUGAAGAGGUUCUGACCCAAGAACCACUAAGUACACCAGAACCAGUUGCAGUUGCAAGGCCACGGAGAGAAAUUCGUAAACCUGCUCGAUUUACUGAUAUGGUGGCCUACGCCCUUCCUGUUGUUGAUGAUAUUCCUAUCACUUAUCAAGAAGCAAUGCAAAGCUUAGAAAGUGAUAAAUGGAAAAGCGCCAUGGAUGAAGAAAUGCAGUCUCUCCUGAAGAAUAAUACUUGGGAAUUGGCGCAAUUACCGAAAGGUAAAAGGGCAAUCGGAUGCAAGUGGGUAUUCGCAAAGAAAGAUGGAUCUCCUAGCAAGAAGGAUAUUCGCUACAAGGCAAGACUGGUAGCUAAAGGCUACGCUCAGAAGGAGGGAAUUGACUACAAUGAUGUAUUUUCCCCUGUUGUGAAGCAUUCCUCCAUUAGAAUUUUGUUGGCCUUGGUAGCACAGUUGAAUUUGGAGCUAGCUCAACUUGAUGUUAAGACGGCUUUCUUGCAUGGUGAUUUAGAAGAGGAGAUCUAUAUGACUCAGCCCGAAGGAUACACAGAUGAUGGUGGUAGAAAUUGGGUUUGUAAGCUGAACAAAUCGCUAUAUGGAUUGAAGCAAUCCCCGAGGCAGUGGUACAAGCGAUUUGAUAGCUUUAUGAGAAGGCAAAAGUACACAAGAAGCAAAUAUGACAAUUGUGUAUAUUUGCAGAAGCUGCAUGACAGAUCUUUCAUUUAUCUACUCUUGUAUGUUGAUGAUAUGUUAAUCGCUUCGAAGAGCCAAAAUGAGAUAGAUAAGCUGAAGGCUCAAUUGAAUCAAGAGUUCGAGAUGAAAGAUCUAGGUGAGGCCAAGAAGAUUCUCGGCAUGGAGAUAAGUAGAGAUAGACCGAGAGGCAAGCUCUGUUUAAAUCAAAAGCAAUAUCUGAAAAAGGUAUUACAAUGUUUUGGUGUAAAUGAAAACACAAAACAUGUAAGUACCCCACUUGUUUCUCAUUUGAAACUUAGUGCUCAAUUAUCUCUGAAGACUGAAGAUGAAAGAGAAUAUAUGGCGAAAGUCCCAUAUGCUAAUGCAGUUGGGAGUUUGAUGUAUGCGAUGGUGUGUACGAGGCCUGACAUUUCACAAGCUGGUGGAGUUGUGAGCAGGUAUAUGCAUGAUCCUGGAAAAGGACAUUGGCAAGCUGUGAAAUGGAUUCUACGGUAUCUUCGAAAAACCGUAGAUGUUGGUUUAAUUUUUGAACAGGAUGAAACACUUGGUCAGUUUGUAGUUGGAUAUGUUGAUUCUGACUUUACUGGUGAUUUAGAUAAACGUCGUUCAACUACGGGGUAUCUGUUUACUCUUGCGAAAGUCCCAGUGAGUUGGAAGUCUACCUUAUAGUCUACAGUAGCUGUGUCUACUACAGAGGCAGAAUAUAUGGCAGUUACAGAAGCUGUUAAGGAGGCUAUUUGGCUUAAUGGAUUAUUGAAAGACUUGGGAGUUGUUCAAAGUCACAUUAGUCUAUAUUGUGACAGUCAGAGUGCUAUUCAUUUAGCGAAAAAUCAAGUCUAUCAUUCAAGAACCAAGCAUAUCGACGUAAGAUAUCACUUUGUGCGGGAAGUCUUUGAAAAAGGAAAAAUUCUACUUCAGAAGAUUCCGACAGCAGAUAAUCCCGCAGAUAUGAUGACCAAAGUGGUAACAACAAUCAAGUUUAAUCAUUGUUUGAACUUGAUUAACAUCCUGAGAAUUUGAGCACCUACAGGUGUAUGGCGCUCGAGAGCGCAUUUAGAGGCACUACAAAAGAUAACUUUAUCGAAUUUGGGGAGUUAAAGGAAGUGUGUGAAGAUGUGAUUAUCCUAAUCAAAUCUUCAAGGUGGAGAUUGUUGAAAGGUCAACAAAGGUAGGAAGCAACUUGUUAAAAAGGUUGAGCAAGUUGCACCGAAUGUUGAAAAGUUGAAUGGGAUAAUUACAAUUUUGGUCCCUAAUUUUUUAGGCCAUUUGCAAGUUAGUCCCUGAACUUCAACUAUAAAUAGGCCUUUUCAUUUUUCAUUUCAACCAUCCCAACCAAUCUUUCUCUCUUAGUUUUCUCUCUUCUCCCAUUUGAGAAUUCUUAAGGAAUUCUAUUUGUUUGUAAUACUUUGAAGAUAGUAAAGUUAUCAUCUGGUGUUAGUGCCCGAGGACGUAGGUAUAAUUUACCGAACCUCGUUAAAACUCUUGUGUUCUUUCUUGUCCUAUUUUUCUUUCAAUAUUUGAGGGUAUAAUAGUAGUAUUUAAUUGUGCUAUUAAAUUACUAUAGAAGGGAUAUUCUGUCUAAGGAAAGACUUGGUAUUUAAGAGAUCCAUGUGAUCCACCUCUCUUUCCUGGGAAUUGAACUUUGUGUGAUUUUUUAGUACAAUAAUUUACACGCUUCCGACCCUAUUGGAACAACAGUUCCAAGAAAUCCUCCAAAAUGUAAUUUUAAUUUUUCCCGGGAGGUCUAGUUUCCAUAAGA